rnacentral:rRNA from 1 species
CAGUCGCCGCGGGAAUACGUAGGGUGCGAGCGUUAAUCGGAAUUACUGGGCGUAAAGCGUGCGCAGGCGGCUUUGCAAGACAGAUGUGAAAUCCCCGGGCUCAACCUGGGAACUGCAUUUGUGACUGCAAGGCUAGAGUGCGGCAGAGGGAGAUGGAAUUCCGCGUGUAGCAGUGAAAUGCGUAGAUAUGCGGAGGAACACCGAUGGCGAAGGCAAUCUCCUGGGCCUGCACUGACGCUCAUGCACGAAAGCGUGGGGAGCAAACAGGAUUAGAUACCCCCGUAGUCCCUGUCUCUUAUAC